GAGUUUGAUCUUGGCUCAGAGUGAACGCUGGCGGCAGGCCUAACACAUGCAAGUCGAACGGCAGCACAGGAGAGCUUGCUCUCUGGGUGGCGAGUGGCGGACGGGUGAGGAAUACAUCGGAAUCUACCUUGUCGUGGGGGAUAACGUAGGGAAACUUACGCUAAUACCGCAUACGACCUACGGGUGAAAGCGGCGGACCGCAAGGCGUCGCGCGAUUGGAUGAGCCGAUGUCCGAUUAGCUAGUUGGCGGGGUAAAGGCCCACCAAGGCGACGAUCGGUAGCUGGUCUGAGAGGAUGAUCAGCCACACUGGAACUGAGACACGGUCCAGACUCCUACGGGAGGCAGCAGUGGGGAAUAUUGGACAAUGGGCGCAAGCCUGAUCCAGCCAUGCCGCGUGUGUGAAGAAGGCCUUCGGUUGUAAG
rnacentral:rRNA from 1 species